UUUAUCGAACGUAUCCGUCAAACUGUAUAAGUAGACAGCUUGAAGGUGAAUGUUGAACUUUUGUUGCAUACAGAACCAUAUGAUGCUGCAUAAUAUUUCGCGUAAAACAAUGUCUGUGUGAUCGAGUUGUGACUGCUGCCCCUCGAGUCUGCACAGUCCAGGCAGGUUGUCGGAGCAGGAUGUGCUCACUGGAGGUCACAUGGAAGGGGGUUUUCCUGCUGCUGGACAUUUGCGGUGCCUUUGGAGUCAACAGCCCUGCCUUGGUUUGACACUUCAGCCUCAGUGUAAGGGAGAGAGAUGUACAGUUUGGGGAUGACUAUGAGUUACCUUUUCCGCGAGCCCGCUACCAUCAACUACCCGUUUGAGAAGGGUCAUGUCUCCUUGUUUCCGUGGUGAACAUGCUCUGUGCCGGUACCCCAACGAAGAGUAGCGUUGUAUCGCCUGCAAGCUGUGUGAGGCUGUCUGCCAUGCCCAGGCCAUUACCAUUGAGGCUGAGACACAUGCAGACUGCAGCAGGACCAUGCAGACCGCAGCAGGAGGACCACUCGCUACGACAUCGACAUGACCAAGUGCAUCUACUGUGGCUUCUGCCAGGAGGCCUGUCCUGUUCAAAUCAAAUCAAAUUGUAUUUGUCACAUACACAUGGUUAGCAGAUGUUAAUGCGAGUGUAGCGAAAUGCUUGUGCUUCUAGUUCCGACAAUGCAGUAAUAACCAACAAGUAA